rnacentral:rRNA from 1 species
GACAGACUUAAAUAAUUAAAUUUCUACAUUUAAUUUUUAUCUUAAUUCAACAUCGAGGUCGCAAACAAUUUUAUCAAUAUGAACUCUCUAAAAUUAUUACGCUGUUAUCCCUAAGGUAAUUUAAUUUAAAUAUCACUAUUAAUGGAUAAAUUAUUCAUUAAAUAAUGUUAUAAUUUUAAAAAAAUUUAUUAAAUUUUUCUAUUACCCCAAUAAAAUAAAAAUUAAUAUAACAAAAAAAUUUUAAAUUUCAAAAUAUUUAAUUAAUUAUAAAAUUCUAUAGGGUCUUCUCGUCUUUAAAUUAUAUGUAAGAAUUUUUACUUACAAUAAAAUUCACAAAUUUUAAAAUUGAGACAGUUAUUAUUUCAUUAAUUCUUUCAUUCCAGACUUAAAUAAUAAACCAAUUGAUUAUGCUACCUUUGUACAGUCAAUAUACUGCAGCUAUUUAAAUUAUUCAUUGAGCAGAACAGACUUUAAAUUAUUUUCAAAAAGACAUGUUUUUGAUAAAC